rnacentral:rRNA from 1 species
AACGAACGCUGGCGGCAGGCUUAACACAUGCAAGUCGAGCGCCCCGCAAGGGGAGCGGCAGACGGGUGAGUAACGCGUGGGAACGUACCCUUUGCUACGGAAUAGCUCCGGGAAACUGGAAUUAAUACCGUAUGUGCCCUACGGGGGAAAGAUUUAUCGGCAAAGGAUCGGCCCGCGUUGGAUUAGCUAGUUGGUGGGGUAAUGGCCUACCAAGGCGACGAUCCAUAGCUGGUCUGAGAGGAUGAUCAGCCACAUUGGGACUGAGACACGGCCCAAACUCCUACGGGAGGCAGCAGUGGGGAAUAUUGGACAAUGGGCGCAAGCCUGAUCCAGCCAUGCCGCGUGAGUGAUGAAGGCCUUAGGGUUGUAAAGCUCUUUCAGAUGGGACGAUGAUGACGGUACCCGCAGAAUAAGCCCCGGCUAACUUCGUGCCAGCAGCCGCAGUAAAAC